rnacentral:lncRNA from 1 species
AUUACUUUCCACAUUUGUGGCUACCAAAAGUCCUUGGAUAUUAGUUCCAAAGUUUUAUUGUACCCAAAAUGUCCUACUGCUGAAAAGUCAUGAUGAGCUUGAAGAACACGUAAUCGAGCUUUACCUUUUGAAAUAUAUAGGCAUGCCUCAAAAUAUAGUAGAUUGUUCUUGAAUUCAAACUUGGAAGUAUUAUAAGACUUUGAAGGAUUUUUCUUAAUAUCACAAAUAAGAG